rnacentral:lncRNA from 1 species
GUAAUAAAGUCAAGUUUUAUACCCUGGCAGAUGGUUGAGAAACUAAGGUUAAACAGAAUUUUUUUCUUUCCUUUACAGCAUAAUCUGUAUAAAUUACUGUCACAUUUACUUAAUUCUCACUGUAUUACUUGACUUGCUUGAUAUUCUUUUCUGCAGUUUUUCUCUAACUUUGCAUUUUAUGUUGUUCACUAUGAGGCUUUUGUUUGUUGUUAAAUUAUAAUGUAAAAAAACCAUAAUAGUAAAAUGUCUGUGCAUAAAUUAUUCAUGUUUUGGUGAUAUUAAAACACUCAGAAGUAAGAUUUAUUUCAUCAUAGUAAGUUUGAGGAUAAUUCUUUAUUGUAUGCUGUAUGUGUGUGGUUGUUGAAAUAGAGUAACUACUUGCAUCUGCUUUAAUAGGUUGCUAAAACAAAACUAAAUAAUUUAAAAAAGCAAAUAUAUACACCUCUUCCAUUAAGCAAAAUGACAAAACUGAUGUCCCAUUUUCAAAGGUCAAAGUAUAUUUGUCUACUUUAAUAAGCCUUUCGUACAGUAAUAGUUGUAGAAUUGUUUUCUUGUGUUUAGUGUGUUUUGAUAUAUUUUUUUUCAUUCAUCACAUUUUUACCCUUUUUCUUUUACUGGCAAAGUGUGAAAGAACCAAAAAAAACAUUUGUUAGGUAGUAGAUUUUCAAGAAAACUCUCAUUUCAUUUCUAUAGUAACAUUGUGAAUUACAUUUAAAAUAAAUAUACUGGGUAAGGUUUUAAUAACUACAGACAUUCCUAGUGCAGAUAAAUCUUUGUCCUUGAUCUUUAACAUUUUUAAUGUCUAAUUGUAAAAAAAAACAUUCUUUGCAUGUAUUUUACCUGUUCAGUUACAUAGAAAGACACUUUUAAUUAGCUUUUUACAUUGGUGGUUAACUAGAAUUAAAAAAUGGUAGAGCUUAAUGUAAAGAGCUGGACAUAAGAUUACAAUUAUAUGUUUAUGUACACAUACACAGAGAGAAAGAGAUAAAGAUACAGUUUUUUUAUACAAGAAGAGUUUGGCAAAAAUAGGACAUUCUCUGUAGAAAAAAAAAUUCACAUUUUUCCAGUUUAUUAUCAGAGUAGUACAGAAGUUAACAAACGUAAUUUCAACAUUUGUAAUCAUCAUCCAUUGCUCUGUGGAGUACUAUUUUGUGUCCCCCCAUCCUUGUAUAAAUAUCUUUAUUGUUACUAUAAUUUUAUAAAUGUAGUAAUAUGAGUGAAACCCUUGUACUUAACAGAUUUUCAGUUGAAUUUACAUUUGCUGAAGUAGGUGUAAAGUAAAAACAAUUUCUGUUUGAAAUUAAGCAUUUGGGUUAUUUUCAUAGCUUUAAUUUAUGGAAAGAAAAAUCUUAAAACUGUAAUUAUAAUUCAUUUAAAUGAAUGAUACUUAUAGUUUACUGUGUCACCUGAUUUCGUCUGUAAAGAAAGAAAAUAUUGAAGUGUGAAGAAAUUGAGUUAAUAAUGAAGAGUGUAAUGAAGAUAUUUUCGUAAGUAGAAACUAGAAGGAAAUGCUCUAGUUGUGUUUGCUGCUGGAAAAAAGUAGUACUUGUGAUAAAAAAAAAAAAGAAGAAAAAAGUGACCACAAUAGAUGAUGAUAAUGGGUUUAUUGUAGGAAACAAAUAUUUAAAAAGUCAGCUUGCAAUUAAGUAGAUAUUUCUAAGCAUUUUAUAUGUAUUAAUUGCAUUAUUUACAAAUGUAAAAAAUGUGGUAGUUCAUGAUUGUUCUGUAGUUUUAAUACAUAAAUUAGCUAAUUGGUUGACAUGUAAAAUCUCACAAGUCUGUCAUGGCCACAAUAAAAUAAGCUCCUUGGACUGAA